rnacentral:lncRNA from 1 species
UUUGUAGGGACUCAAAUCCAGAUUGUUUGUGGAAUGCAUGAAGGAGCUUUAGGAGAAAGAUUGGGCUUCAGGAGUGGAAGCAGAUGAUGGAGGUGAGAAAUGUUCGUGGAGUGAUGCUACCUCCCUCCAGCCCAGCCUGGGGCUUCGGUCAAGCCUCAGGGAGUCCCUGAUGAAUAUCCCAUGAACAGCACUAAGAUGUGGUCCCUAGGACAGGGGCCCACGGCAGCAUGACGUUCUUGCUGCCCAAGCCUCAGCUUCUGUGUUAGAAUGUAGGUACCAGACUCCAGAGACGUCACGUGGCUUGUCUGGUGAGGCCUGCGGUUGUGGCACCGCUGAGCCACAGGAGCAGAUGGCUCGAGCAGCCAUAAGGAGCAGUGGAAAUGAACGCGACUCGGUCACAACAGGUCACAGGUGGUCAUGUGCGUCGGCCGCAACAGGGAAGGGCCUGCCCUGGCUAGCUCCCGUGAGCAUCUGUGUGCAGGCGAGUUAGUUUAGUUACUGUGACCUCUAGAAAUGACUAAGUUCACUUUGUGGCCUUAUCAAGCCUCACCCUUGAGUUUGGACUAAGUCAAGUUUUGAUGUUUACCCUGGAACACA